UUUAUGCUUCUCGUGGAGGUGGAUUACUGGGGUGCUCCAGCUGCAGAGUCCAGGUACUCUAAGUGCCUUGCCAGUGUGGACACCUCAGGAGUUAGGGCACCCAGGGCUGAGUUAAUGCUCUCUAACUUGCAAGUGGAGCCAAGGCCAUAAACCUAAAAAGUUGUUGUAUU